rnacentral:rRNA from 1 species
AUUGAACGCUGGCGGCAUGCCUUACACAUGCAAGUCGAACGGCAGCACGGGUGCUUGCACCUGGUGGCGAGUGGCGAACGGGUGAGUAAUACAUCGGAACAUGUCCUGUAGUGGGGGAUAGCCCGGCGAAAGCCGGAUUAAUACCGCAUACGAUCCACGGAUGAAAGCGGGGGACCUUCGGGCCUCGCGCUAUAGGGUUGGCCGAUGGCUGAUUAGCUAGUUGGUGGGGUAAAGGCCUACCAAGGCGACGAUCAGUAGCUGGUCUGAGAGGACGACCAGCCACACUGGGACUGAGACACGGCCCAGACUCCUACGGGAGGCAGCAGUGGGGAAUUUUGGACAAUGGGCGAAAGCCUGAUCCAGCAAUGCCGCGUGUGUGAAGAAGGCCUUCGGGUUGUAAAGCACUUUUGUCCGGAAAGAAAUCCUUGGCUCUAAUACAGUCGAGGGAUGACGGUACCGGAAGAAUAAGCACCGGCUAACUACGUG